AUAUAUAUAUCAAACUUCUCUUUGUUGAGUGGUUUGGAUGUGGGGGUUUUCUGCUGGGCCCUUGUAAAGGGUUCAGCUCCCCUGAAAUGCAUUAGCAGAACAACCCUGUUCAUUGGUGUGAUAAACUAUCUAUGCUAUUGAAUGGUGAGGGGCAGUUCAGCUUUCUAACAGUCCUUGGACAAAUUCAUCAUUA
rnacentral:misc_RNA from 1 species